GCACCCGUUUUAUUGCUGUUAGUGGGUUUGAACCGAGCUUAGCCUUGUUCAUUUUUUUUCACAAUAGCCAUGUAAAAAAUUGAACACACCCCACUGAGCACCGCACAGGCAAAGGGCUCAAGAGGCUCUGAAACUCCCCGAAACGCCCUAAAAUUGGCCGCACAGCCCUAUUUUGGGGCAA
rnacentral:sRNA from 1 species